UCUCAUGGUAAAAGAAAACUGAAAAACCAGCCCACCGCUCCCCACGUUCUCCCAUGACCUAUCCAUCUCUCCCGAUUCGACCUGGAACUGGAAUACAUCCCACGAUCCCCCACACAACACGGAGGGAAAACAGCCCGAAGUUCCUCGCGAUAGCCCCGACGCGGCCUCCUGCUGGGUUGUUGCUGCGCGUCGAUGGUGCCGCAUCGCCGCCCCACGAUUCGGACCGGCGCCUCAUCGUGCCCUCACCCGAGCCUUCUCUCCACGCUCCACCGCUUCGCCGGGCGCCAAUAUCUGGGGCUCUCCGCAAUGCCCGAUGCUCCGGCGGUGAGCCGUACUGCAGUAGGGAGGAGGAGCCGGCGGCAGACAGAGAAGUACAUGGAGGUGGUGGUGGAAGGGAAGGGGACGGGGACAUAAUCGAGGGCGAGCACGGCACCAAUGUCGUGCAGUCCAAACUCAUCUGGGACAUGUGUCCACCAUCUCGCUCGCCUGGGAGACCGCCCAACUUGAUUUAAUAUGUUAUCUUGCCCAGUACUUUCCUCAUGUGGCUGUUAUGACCGAGCACCUUUCUUUGUGGCAGUGAUGUAUUAAAUAAUCUCUAACAAAUUAAUACGCUUAAAUGGUGAUGCCACUGCUCAAAUCCAAACACUGAAGAACGCAUAUAUAUUGCAUGGUCUGUCAUCGGAGCACCUUUGGAGGAAGAAGUUCACCUCAAGCCAUCGGAGUGAAAUUCUCAUUGCCAUAACCAGCUUUCACAGGGAAGCAUAAGGUGAUCCAUGAUCUUCACGUAGUAUGUAGAAUCUGGAGGAAAUCUAAUAUAUCUCUUAUGUAUAAUUUGUAUGUAGAUUUCGUGAGAAUUUGUCACAUUCAAAACUACAUUACCUGACUUACUUAUUUUUUGCCAGAUCAUAUCAUGAGUUACUGUUUACAUGUACUGUAGCUUCAUGAAGAAAAGAAAUAGGAUACAUUUUCUAGCCUUAUAUUCAUUUUUUUACUGUAAUGUCUAAGAAUGAAAGCACUCAGGUUCUGCACCUUCCAGUAGUUUAAUUUGUCUAAUAUGUUACCUUUUGCACAAGUGGGGCUUAUGUGAUAACUUGGCAUCUGCAACUUGGUUGCGUCUGAAUUUAGGGUCAAAAGAUUGAGGACCUUAACGCGCAAUAGCGUGGACCAGUGGACGAGGAUGAUAUCAUGGAGUCAGGAGAAAGGCUUGUUGGAAGUAGAAUAUAAUGA